CUUUUAUUGGUUAAUCUCAUCACCCACUCUCUCCCACACUACCAUCUAAAAGACUAAAACCCUUCUCCUUAUAUAUAUGAUGCCUCAUAGCUGAGCAACUGUCACUAGGGUUUCAAUCUCACUCUACAGCCGCAGGCAGCGGCGGCGCUAACCUCAAUUCCCACCCAUUUACAUUCUCGAGGCUGAUGGUUGAAAUUAGAAUAUAAGCAGGUUUACUAUUUUUGGUACCGAUGCAUUUUCCACCAGAUAGAGUGCUACUCAGCUGAACUGCACCAAAUCCUGCAAUGGUGAUCGGUCAAAUUGACGGUUUUGCGGUGGAACAAGACCGAUCCAACUUUGGCCCAACCCUGGCAUCCAUUAGUUUUCUUAUAUGCCCCUCUCUAGACUUUACUUUCUCUCUCUACAAUCAUCAUGGCAACAUCUGGCAUGAAGAACAAGAUCGAAAUCAACGGUUAUCAAUGAUAGAGGUUUGAAGUAUUUCACUCUCAAAGACUUCGUUUGGAGAUGUUCAAGGAAAAGUAAAGUCUUUCAAGUGACCAUUUCCUUGUUAGUAGAGGCCUAUUUGGUGCUGCAUGUGUAAUUUGUAAAUUUUUCGUAUAAAUCAGUGGUGGUGGUGUUAGUUUUGCACCCCUUGUAAUACAUUUGACUAUAUGAAUCUAAAUGAAAUAUGGUAUUAUAUUAAAUGUGCAA